rnacentral:rRNA from 1 species
UGACGGAGCGACGCCGUGUGAAUGAAGAAGGCCGAAAGGUUGUAAAAUUCUUUUGCAGAUGAAGAAUAAGAAGAAGAGGGAAUGCUUCUUUGAUGGCGGUAAUCAUGCGAAUAAGCCCCGGCUAAUUACGUGCCAGCAGCCGCGGUAACACGUAAGGGGCGAGCGUUGUUCGGAAUUACUGGGCGUAAAGGGUAUGUAGGCGGUUAGGUAAGCCUGGUGUGAAAUCUACGAGCUCAACUCGUAAACUGCAUUGGGUACUGCUUGACUUGAAUCACGGAGGGGAAACCGGAAUUCCAAGUGUAGGGGUGGAAUCUGUAGAUAUUUGGAAGAACACCGGUGGCGAAGGCGGGUUUCUGGCCGAUGAUUGACGCUGAUAUACGAAGGUGCGGGGAGCAAACAGGAUUAGAUACCCUGGUAGUCCGCACAGUAAACGAUGUACACUAGGUGUCGGAGCUAGAGCUUCGGUGCCGACGCAAACGCAUUAAGUGUACCGCCUGGGAAGUAUGCCCGCAAGGGUGAAACUCAAAGGAAUAGACGGGGGCCCA